GACAGAGGAUGCAAGCGUUAUCCGGAAUGAUUGGGCGUAAAGCGUCUGUAGGUGGCUUUUUAAGUCCGCCGUCAAAUCCCAGGGCUCAACCCUGGACAGGCGGUGGAAACUACCAAGCUGGAGUAUGGUAGGGGUAGAGGGAAUUUCCAGUGGAGCGGUGAAAUGCGUAGAUAUUGGAAAGACCACCGAUGGCGAAGGCACUCUACUGGGCCACUACUGACACUGAGAGACGAAAGCUAGGGGAGCGAAUGGG
rnacentral:rRNA from 1 species